AGAAGGGCUCAUACCCGUUCCUA
rnacentral:siRNA from 1 species